GGUUCCUGGUAGUUUUUGCUCAUUCAACUCCGGGAUCCUAACAUUACAUUAGUAAAGCCCUGAUUCUGCUCAAGCCUCCCCAAAUUCUUACUGGUGUGACUGUGUAUGACCGGAGCACCUGACUCUCAGCCCAGUACAUGUGUGUGCAUGGUACAACAAUGGAACAAUAAAUGGGAGGGAAGGGAGGGAAGAGCCAUCAAGGAAGACUGCCCAGAAAAGCUGAUGCUCGAGGCAAGACUUCUGGGGGAGAAGCAUGCCAAACCAGAAAAGAUAAGGACACCAGUUAUCACAGAAUUUGUGUGACAGCACUUAAACGAUACACACUGACUUUGGGACAUCCAACUUUUACCAGGUACUGUUUUAGGAGAAUAAUCAAUAGCGUUUAGUGUAAUGCAAAUUACACUAAAUUUUGGCUGUCAAACUCCAAAGCAUAGAGAAAUUAUUAAGAGUUAAACACAGUGAAGAUCUCUAGGGUCCCUAAAGGGCAGCUGUAGGUUCAGAAAGUUGUACUACAUUUUCUUACAUGGCUACCAAAUCCUGCUCCUAUUUCCUCAUCUAGGAGGAGAUAAGGACAGAAUUUGGUGUGUCUGAUUCCUUUGAGAGGAAGAUAUGAAUUUGAUUAAGGAGUCAACAUUCAUAUUUUUCUGAUAAUUACCAAUAACUUGUGGCUAGGGAGCUAAACAUCACUCCUGUCCUGAGAAUGUAAAUGUGUGUACUUGUUUUGCUCCAAUGUUGUCUUUCAUUUCAUAGUUUUUCCAUUUUUGUAAUACUCUGGUAUUAACUGGAGGGGCCACUAGCAUUUGUCUUGAUGUGUGUGGGAGGAGGAGCUGGGCGUGUGUGUGGGUAUGCGCACGUGCGAACAAAUGUUUUGCUGUUGCUCUCUUAACACCUGCAUAAAGGCAUGUGUAGGAUAAGGUGGAAUAUUUAAGAGUGUGAAGGGAGGCACACAUGGAAAGAGAAUCGAUGCAUUAUAAAAAUACAAAUAGAAGCCUCUGUGAAUAUGUAUGAAAGAAUGAUAC
rnacentral:lncRNA from 1 species